rnacentral:rRNA from 1 species
UACGUAGGUGGCAAGCGUUAUCCGGAAUUACUGGGCGUAAAGAGCGCGCAGGCGGUCGUUCAAGUCGCGUGUGAAAGCCCCCGGCUCAACUGGGGAGGGUCACGCGAUACUGAUCGACUCGAAGGCAGGAGAGGGUAGUGGAAUUCCCGGUGUAGUGGUGAAAUGCGUAGAUAUCGGGAGGAACACCAGUGGCGAAGGCGACUACCUGGCCUGUUCUUGACGCUGAGGCGCGAGAGCUAGGGGAGCAAACGGG